UCUGAGUCCACUACAAUGAAGAAAAUGGAGGCUCUUGCCUAAGAUCAUGAGACAGAUGAUGUGGCAAGAAAACUCUUGCCAGAUGCUGGCACCUUGAUGUUGGCACCAGCCUCCAAGACUCUGAUAAUGCCUUCUGAGAUGAUCUUGUACCCAAAUUCAUGACUCGGAGUCUGAUUUGGAAGAAACCACACUGAAAACAUCCCUAAGGUAGACCAAACUGGAAAAGCUGGAGGCAAAACCUUGAGUCAUGGUUUUUGAGGGAAAGACUUAUGUCUGGAAUGUUGUCAUCUCGAACA
rnacentral:lncRNA from 1 species